rnacentral:sRNA from 1 species
AAGGGGACCUCCGUGAUGUGGCCAGAUCAGGGGUGGCCUCUCUCCCACCUGCCAAAUGCCAGCACCAGGAGUCCCUGGGCCGACCGAGACCCCACUCAGCACCCUCGCUGGGCACCUCAAGCCUGAGGGACCCAGAGCCCUCAGGGAGGCUGGGUGAUCUGGGACCCCAGGAGGCACAGGCCCUGAGGUCCAUCCUGGCUCAACAGAGCAAGCUGUCCAAGCCCAGGGUGACCUUCUCUGAGGAGUCUGCAGUUCCAGAGAGGAGCUGGCGCCUCAGGCCAUACCUGGGCUAUGACUGGAUUGCAGGGUCUCUGGACACCAGCUCUUCCAUCACCAGCCAGCCUGAGGCCUUCUUCUCGAAGCUGCAGGAGUUUCGGGAAACCAACAAGGAGGAGUGUAUCUGCAGCCAUCCUGAACCCCAGUUGCUAGGCCUGCGUGAGAGCAGUGGCAGCGGCGUGGAGGAAGACCAUGAAUGUGAGUGCGGGCCCUCGGCUGCUGAGUAGUCCAGCCUCGCACUGCCCUGGCCUCCCCUGCCCCGGAGCAGUCCCAUUUGAGGUUUGGGGCCUGGGGAGGCCCCUGAGAUGUUGAGACUCAUGGAGGGAGGCCUGCAGUCUGGACAGGGUGGCCAAGCCCUGGUAGGGGUGGAGUGAGCUAAGGCCUGGCCACCGAAUUAGGGGCUGCCCUGUGUGGCACCAUCCCACCCUCCCCAGCAGUGCCCCUGUGCUGGUGGGACUCCAUCCCAGCUCCUGAGAGCCCCAGGAGGAUGUCCCUCCCCACCCCUUAGGGCGUGGGCCCCAGGUUCUGGGAGGAAAGGGGUUAGGAGGAAAUGGGCCAAAGGGCUUCCCAGAGGGAUUGGCAGCUUGUGUGGUUGGGGGCCGCUGAGGGCAGCACGGAGCCUGGGGACCUGGGUUCCUGGCUCAAGGAGAGCUGUGGCUUCUCAUGGGCCUCGCAGGCGUGUACUGUUACCGUGUCAACCGGCGCCUGUUCCCGGUGCCUGUGGAUCCCGGUACCCCCUGCCGCCUGUGCAGGACACCGCGAGACCAGCAGGGCCCUGGGACCCUGGCGCAGCCAGCGCAGGUCAGGUGAGUGACCAGAGUAUUGGGACACCUUGGGGGACAGAGCCUGAACCACUGGUUUUAAGAAAAGAUGGGCCUGGGUGUGGGCCCCCAACCGCUGGGAGGCUCCUCAGGGGUCCCCCACUGCCCCCCUCCGCAGGGUGAGCAUCCCGCUGUCGAUCCUGGAGCCCCCGCACCGGUACCACAUCCACCGGCGAAAGAGCUUUGACGCCUCUGACACACUGGCCCUGCCCCGGCACUGCCUGCUGGGCUGGGACAUUUUUCCUCCGAAGUCUGAGAAAAGCUCAGCCCCCAGGAACCUGGACCUCUGGUCCUCUGUCUCCGCUGAGGCCCAGCACCAGAAGCUGUCAGGCACCAGCAGCCCUUUUCACCCGGCCUCACCAAUGCAGGUGCUGCCCCCAAUCCCGACCUGGUCAGUGCCCCAGGUCCCUCAGCCCCACGUCCCACGGCAGAAGCCCUGAGGACUGACUCCUGGGGGAGAACAGCAUUCCCACCGCCUGCAGCCUCUCCCCUCUGGCAGGCGCACCCAGGAGAUGGAAUCCCCUGCCCGCCCAGCUCAGGCCCGGCUGUCCUAGGUUGGGCAGGUGGGUGGACCCAGGCUUGUCUGCUGCCUGAGUUCCAGAGAGGG